AUUUUGAUACUCGUGUUGUUUGCGAACUGUGUCUCUGAAUAUUCUCAUUUUUAUGAUCAGAAAUUUUGUAAGAACCGAAGUAUUAUAAAGAUUCAAUAAAGAACGACUUGAGGGAAUAGUUGGGUGAUAUUUCUAAUCGAAAUUUGAGCGCGCAUCUGAUCAUACGUGGGAAAGAUCAAAAGCUGAAAGCCAGACAAGCCUGAAACCAUGUCUAGGAAAUGUGAUGUCUGUAACAAGGUAUUUUCACAGAGAAGCUCUUUAUUAAGACAUAAAAGAACACACAAUGAAGAGAAACCUUAUAAAUGUGAUGUUUGUAACAAAAGAUUUUUACGAUCAGGCCACUUAGCAGUUCAUAAGAGAACACACACUGGAGAGAAACCUUAUGGAUGUGAUGUUUGCAACAAGAGAUUUUCACACUCAAGCACCUUAGUUACACAUGAAAGAACGCACACUGGAGACAAACCUUAUGAAUGUGAUGUUUGCAACAAGAGAUUUUUGCAGUCAAGCAACUUAGCAGUUCAUAAGAGAACACACACUGGACUGACUGGAGAGAAACCUUAUGAAUGUGAUGUUUGCAACAAAAGAUUUUUGCAGUCUGGCACCUUAGCUACCCAUAAAAGAACACACACUGGAGACAAACCGUAUGAAUGUGAUGUUUGCAACAAGAGAUUUUUGCAGUCAAGCAACUUAGUGGUUCAUAAGAGAACACACACUGGAGAGAAACCUUAUGAAUGUGAUGUUUGCGACAAAAGAUUUUCACGCUCAAGCAUCUUAGCUACCCAUAAAAGAACACACACUGGAGACAAACCUUAUGAAUGUGAUGUUUGCAACAAAAGAUUUUCACGGUCACAUGUCUUAACUGUGCAUAAAAGAACACACACUGGAGAGAAACCUUAUGAAUGUGAUGUUUGCAACAAGAGAUUUUUGCAGUCAGGUGACUUAGCUACCCAUAAAAGAACACACACUGGAGACAAACCUUAUGAAUGUGAUGUUUGUGAGAAGAGAUUUUCAUGCUCGACCAACUUAACCAAGCAUAAAAGAACACACACUGGAGACAAACCUUUUGAAUGUGAUGUUUGUAAGAAGAGAUUUUCAUUCUCGGCCAACUUAACCAAGCAUAAAACAACACACGCUGGAGACAAACCUUAUGAAUGUUAUGUUUGCAAUAAGAGAUUUUCAGAAUCUCACAAAUUAACACGACAUAAAAUAUCAGCACACAAGAGAAAGCCGAGUCUUGAGUGUGCUAAAUGUAAGAAAACAUUCACACUACUUAAGAGUCUCAAACAUCACUGGAGAAUACAUUCGAGAAAUGGCUUAUUAUUCUGCAACAGUUGUGGCAGGGAAAUUAGUCAAUCACAACGACAAGGACAUGCUAGUGAGAUACUGAGUGGCGAUCAUUCUGUCUGCAACAAAUGCGACAAACAGUUCCCUGAUAUUGAAAGUUUAUAUCAGCACAAGGCCAAAGACCAUCAUUCAUCCCACCAAUGUGAUGUUUGCAAGGAAUUAGAAGCAAGAGAAGCAACUGGCAUUGGUUAUAUCUGUUGUGUCUGCGAUGCCGAGUUUAAAAUUGCCACCGAACUUGAAGAUCAUAUGAGUAUGCAUGACAAUAUGCUGCCCCACUAGGCAAGAUAAAUUGAAAAUAAUUUGGGAUUUUGGGUGAUAUGUUGUGUUGAACAGGGCCGUAAGUAGACACGAUAAUUGUGGAGUGUAUGUCAUAUAUUCAUGUUCAUAUACUGUCAAAACAAUCACUUUCAAAAGAAAUCCGUCGGGCAGAACACAAAUAUAUGAAUAUACACCCCCCAGUUAUCGGUCUAGCUACGGCCCUGGGGUUGAAAUUUUUCUUGAAAUUAAUUUGGCAUUGCUUGAAAUUGAUUAACUUGUUUUGGAGUUGUCUUCAAAAUACAGUAUCAC